CGCGUAGGCGGCCAAUUAAGUCAAAUGUGAAAUCCCCGAGCUUAACUUGGGAAUUGCAUUCGAUACUGGUUGGCUAGAGUGUGGGAGAGGAUGGUAGAAUUCCAGGUGUAGCGGUGAAAUGCGUAGAGAUCUGGAGGAAUACCGAUGGCGAAGGCAGCCAUCUGGCCUAACACUGACGCUCAAAUGCGAAAGCGUGGGGAUCAAACAGGAUUAGAUACCCUAGUA
rnacentral:rRNA from 1 species